GAUACUGACGGCCAUCACUAAAGUGUGAAGCAGGGAAAACGUGCGUCUCACUGUUUCCACACAAAGCGGGUAAAAUUCAAAGAAUGUGGAACAGAUAUCCUACGCGCGGGUAUCAUUUAUCACAGCAGAACAUUCAUGAUGUCUUCAGUCUGAGAUAAAAACUCAGGAGAUCGUCAGAUCAAAGCUCCAUCACAGGUCGCUAUCAACCACUGAUUACUGAGUGUCCUCUGCAGUCAGAGAGAAACGGAGGUGAUGGAAAACAAGAGCAUCAUGUCUAUAGUGCCAGGGCUCUUCCAAGCUCUACACCUAUACUUGUAAACUCCUGCUGCAUAACAUCUUCAUUUCCAUUAAAAAUG